AUUUAGAGUGUUGUGAUAGUGACCUCAUAGUCAGCUGAACAAGAGGGGCAGCUUUCCUGUCCCUCAGUGGAGUGAGAGGAAAUAUCAAAAAUGCCUAAGACUUCAUGUCCUGUCAUCCAUAAAACUGAUAGGUUCAUACAUAAAUUGAUUCAUAGAUUGUAAGGCUGGAAGGGACCUUGGAAGAUCAUCAGGUCCAGCCCCCUGCACCAGGCAGGAAAGACAACCGGGGGUCAGGCAGCGAGGUGACCAUCCAGACUCCUCUUGAAGAUUUCCAGGGUAGGCGAUUGCACAGCCUCUGGAGGGAGCCUCCUCUCUACGUUUUCCAGUUCUACUAUAUCCUUUUGGAGGUGCAUUCCCAGCAAGUCAUAGCUAAGUGACAGAAACGUGACAUCUGAACUAAUGGGAUUAGAAGAUCAACCGGCCAUCUUCAUAAGUAAUGGAAAAAGGUAGUCAAAUGGCUAUGUACCAGAUGUCAGGUUUUGUAUCCACAGGGACCAAGGUGCAUUAGAGUGUUAUCAUUCUGUAGAUAGUAAAUAAGGGCUCAGUAAUGGUACUGCCUGAGUCCAUUUAAUAGAUGCUAUCUGAAAUAACAACUAGUAAGUUAAACACACCAAGACAAUAAUUAUUCCUUUGAAAACAACUGUCUGCAUCCUCUGGAUAACCUGUUUUAAAGGCUACAAAGGAAGAAAUGGUAGGAUAACUUGACUUGGAACACAGACAAGAAGUGGAGUAACUAACUAAAGUGUUCACAAGGAAAAAACUGAACUGAUGCCACCUCUCCUGGGGUGAACAGACAUCUGAGUUUGCAAUGAGCUCAGUUAGCAAACAGCUUGAAGAAAGAAAAAGGGGUCCAACAGUACAGUUCCCUCUUCUCCUCUCCCCUCUCAUUUGCUGCUUCUUUUCAAGUUCUCUGUAAUCAAAAAUACAUCAUUAUCUUGCCCCUACUUAACUCAUGUUGACAAUAGGUGGAUCAUUUCCCCUAUAUAGCAGCUAAAUAUAGAAGUUAGCCAGUACAUGGCUGCUUUCAAACUAAUGGAGGUUAUCAUUUACUUCAACCAAAGGGAGACUCAUUAUUUUAAAAUCACAAGUCAUGGAUUCAGUGCUAUGGAUGACUCAGCCAAAAGGUGUCAUAGUUCUUUUCUUCAUCUUUUUCCAGUGUGAUAACAAUAACAAGUUAGCCAAUGAUUUCCUUUUCUCUUUAAUUUAUUGGUAUGGCUUUUUGAAACUCUAAAGAAAAAAAUAUUGGAGCCAACUCUUUCAAUCCCACACAGAACUAGAGUAGAGGGAACUGCAAAUUGCAGUUGAGCUAACCUGUGAUGUUAUUGACCUGCAUUGCAUCAGAGCUAUGAAGAAAUCAUUCAGCGUGCAUAAGAAUAUAAUACAAUAUAAGAAUACAAUAUAAAAAUUAUUUAAAUCAUAAGGCACUUAAUUUCCUUGGGAAAACACUGAAGAUCAUUUUUUAAAUGCAUACAAAAUAAAGCAGAUUUUACUGACUGGAUUAAAUAUGAAUUAAAACUGGUGUGUUUUACAGUGAGAGGAAAUUACAGUGUAGAGGUAAGAGGAGACUGAAACUUUUCCUUUAUUUCAGCUAAAAGCCUUGGAAACACAGUGAACAACAGGUUUUGAAAAAUGUUACUUACUGUCAGGAGGAGGUUGCUACUGGUGAAUUGUAUUUUUAAAGCAAGAGUGAGGCCAAACAUUUUGGUAUGUGAGCUGCACAGUCAUAAAUGGAGGUUGUACAUCAGAACUGUCCUAGGCUAGCUACUUCAUGACAAUUAUGUGGGAAUAGUUUCUAUAUCCUAGAAGAACUCUAGUGGAAAAAUACUCCAGACCUGAUACUACACUGUGUUUGAACUAUACUUAAGGCAGCUCAUUGUGGGCCUUGCCACUUUGCAGCUCAGCUGUCUCCAGUUUAAAUUAGAACACUCUUAAGGCUGAUUUUAAUUUAGUGUAUAUGAUCUCAAGGAAGUCUAAGGUGCCAUGAUCAGACUCCCUUUCCUCCAGCCUUUAUUAUUGUUCCAGAGGCCUGGCAACAUCUGGAGUUUCCCCCAUACCAAGUGAAUUUUGCUAGCUGCUUAUGCGGACAAUUAAGGCUGUUCACACUACUGCCACAGUAUAAGCAGGGGCUAAGACUGUCUCUGAUUUCCACUUGUGCCAGUUCUUUUCCUGCUUCAUUAACACUAGAAGGGAGGAAUAGGCUGCAAUUGGACCUAGACAGGUUACAGGGGUGGGCAGAUGAGAACAGGAUGGGUUUCAACACUGACAAGUGCAAGGUACUGCACCUGGGGGGAAGAACCAGCAGCACACCUACAAGCUGGGGAACUCCCUUCUCAUUAGUGCAGAGGCAGAAAAGGAUCUUGGAGUCAUUAUUGAUGCCAAAAUGAACAUGGGCCGACAGUGUGGGGACACGGUCAGGAAGGCCAACCGCAUCUUGUCAUGCAUCCAGAGAUGCAUCUUGAGCAGGUCCAAGGAAGUGAUCCUCCCCCUCUAUGCGACACUGGUCAGGCCGCAGUUGGAGUACUGCAUCCAGUUCUGAAUGCCGCACUUCAGGAGGUAUGUGGACAGCAUGGAGAGGGUCCAGAGGAGGGCCACUCGCAUGAUCAGGGGUCAGCAGAGCAGGCCCUACAAGGAGAGGCUAAGGGACCUGAACCUGUUCAGCCUCCACAAGAGAAGGCUGAGGGGGGAUCUAGUGGCCAUUUACAAACUAGUCAGGGUAGACCAGCAGGCACUGGGGGAAUCCCCGUUCCCCCAAGCACUACCAGGAGUGACAAGAAAUAACGGUCACAAGCUGGCAGAGGGUAGAUUCAGGCUAGGUAUCAGGAAGCGCUAUUUCACUGUCAGGUUGGCUAGGAUCUGGAACCGACUUCCAAGAGAAGUGGUGCUGGCUCCUACCCUGGGGUCUUUAAAAGGAGGCUAGAUGAACACCUCGCUGGGGUUGUUUGACCCCAGUACUCUUUCCUGCCAUGGCAGGAGGUCAGACUAGAUGAUCUGCUCAGGUCCCUUCCAACCCUACCAACUAUUCCAGUUAAUUUGUGACAAAUAGUCUGAAACCUGGAGCCUCUCAUUUUGCGUGAAGAACACACCGUGCAUUUGAGAAGAUAUUUUUUUCUAUGAUAUCCCAGAAGGACUGCUAAUUUCUCACUUAAAAAUCUGUGGUACCAUACUGUGGUGUAUGAAUGUGCUAAUGAAAUAAAGCUAAGUCUUGGGAAGCCUUGUUAUUUUAAA